ACCCGCUGAACUUAAGCAUAUCAAUAAGCGGAGGAAAAGAAACCAACAGGGAUUGCCCUAGUAACGGCGAGUGAAGCGGCAACAGCUCAAAUUUGAAAUCUGGCUCUUUUAGAGUCCGAGUUGUAAUUUGCAGAGGGCGCUUUGGCUUUGGCAGCGGUCCAAGUUCCUUGGAACAGGACGUCACAGAGGGUGAGAAUCCCGUACGUGGUCGCUGGCUAUUGCCGUGUAAAGCCCCUUCGACGAGUCGAGUUGUUUGGGAAUGCAGCUCUAAAUGGGAGGUACAUUUCUUCUAAAGCUAAAUAUUGGCCAGAGACCGAUAGCGCACAAGUAGAGUGAUCGAAAGAUGAAAAGCACUUUGGAAAGAGAGUCAAACAGCACGUGAAAUUGUUGAAAGGGAAGCGCUUGCAGCCAGACUUGCUUACAGUUGCUCAUCCGGGCCUUUGCCCGGUGCACUCUUCUGUAGGCAGGCCAGCAUCAGUUUGGGCGGUAGGAUAAAGGUCUCUGUCACGUACCUCUCUUCGGGGAGGCCUUAUAGGGGAGACGACAUACUACCAGCCUGGACUGAGGUCCGCGCAUCUGCUAGGAUGCUGGCGUAAUGGCUGU
rnacentral:rRNA from 1 species